UUCAUUAUCGGCCACGAAAACUGGAAAGUAACUGCGCAUACAACGCAAAGUCGUUCGACAUUGAUAACACGCGAGCUGGAAUGCGCAAUGUGUUGGUCGGACGAAUCUCGCGGUGAUUCGCGCGGGAUGAAUUAACCUUAACCUUCAUGCCGUCCCGCAACAACAAAAACGCGCGCGUCUUCGAGCGAUCUCGCUGUCUCGUUCGAACGCGUUUAUCUCACUGCAGGUUACUCACGAAAACUCGGCAAAUACGUGUAAAGAAAACUCGGUUCACGACAUCGAUGACGCUACGCGAAGGAGUACGCGUACGAACGGCACGAAGCUUGCGACGAGAGAGACUCGUUGGUGCCAAACUUCACGCUUCACGUCCAGAAAAAAACGGGCGGUAAACCGUGCGGUGCGAAGAUGGCGGACACCCUCCCUCGCGUCCAUCGCCCGGCGAAGAGUCAACACAAAUGUCCCAGGACGAUCGUCACCGUACAGAACACUCAUUUCACUGCACAUCAUUGCGCAUAAACACUCGAAUUCGGUACGUACCGAGACACACGCGGCGAGAUCGGAACUUGCACGGCCGUCAAAAUGCGUAGCUGCUCCGGUCCUUCGACUGCUGUUCCGCCAUGCUACUGCACCCAGUGAGAAAUAAUAAUGGAAUCGAUAUCGAAUCGACAUCAAAAUGAUGAUUUUGACGUAGAAUCGAUGUCGAAAUCGUCACUUUGAUAUCGAUUCGAUAUCGAUUCCAUUGUCAUUUCUCACUGGGUACAGGCUCAUCGUCCAUCGGUCACGCAUAUCACGGCGGCUCCUCGGUUGUUGUCAAAAUCAAAAAUCGAGCUUCCUGCGGAUCUACCUACCGCGGAGAAACGCGACACGAAAUCGAUCCGCGAUCCGCCGCAUCUUUCACCCGCCGCUGCCGCCGUCCGCGACCCCGCGACGCUUCGCUACUAGAGCAGCAGCGCCGCGCCCCGCCCCGCCGUCGAAUUGACACCGCCAUUGAUCACGGACCAACGAUUGAUAACGUACGUGUGCACUUUCCAGAAAGAAAUCUUUUCUCGGAGAAAAAUCGCGCACUAGCUCGCGUGCUAUCACCGAUGCCGACUUUACUUUAUACAUACGCGCAGUUACUUCCGAGUUUUCGUGGGCGACAAUGAAAUGAACGUUCCGACGAAAUGAUCUACGCAUUCUGGAUCAUAACCUCGCGCGGUCGUGUGUCCUUUCGCUACGUGGUGAUGCCGCUUCGCUGGGGCGCCGUCAACAAAGUGUCGCACGUUGCUGAUAAUAAUUAACGCGCGAUCGUAAUUAAUCUCAUUCGCGAGUGUUAUUUGUGUAUUGACUGGACCUGUUGGCAGAGGCCCGGGGAGCAUCGGGCAACGGCGAAACAGCCCUGUGGUCAACAUGGCGUUGCAACUCCGCUGCUGAGUGUCGAGAGUUUUUAGUUAUUCCCGAGUACCAAACCCUGGGCAUGGAAUAUAAGAAUCCAAAGCCUUGCAAUUUACCGGAAAUUUAAGGAAGGGCUCCAACAAAUAUCAUCCAUCCU